GAUGAACGCUGGCGGCGUGCUUAACACAUGCAAGUCGAACGGGAUCGGCUGGAGCUUGCUCCGGCCGUGAGAGUGGCGAACGGGUGAGUAAUGCGUGACCGACCUGCCCCAUACACCGGAAUAGCUCCUGGAAACGGGUGGUAAUGCCGGAUGCUCCAGUUGGAUGCAUGUCCUUCUGGGAAAGAUUCUAUCGGUAUGGGAUGGGGUCGCGUCCUAUCAGGUAGUCGGCGGGGUAACGGCCCACCGAGCCUACGACGGGUAGCCGGCCUGAGAGGGCGACCGGCCACAUUGGGACUGAGAUACGGCCCAGACUCCUACGGGAGGCAGCAGUGGGGAAUAUUGCACAAUGGGCGCAAGCCUGAUGCAGCGACGCCGCGUGCGGGAUGACGGCCUUCGGGUUGUAAACCGCUUUUGACUGGGAGCAAGCCCUUCGGGGUGAG
rnacentral:rRNA from 1 species